CCUACGGGGUGCAGCAGUGGGGGAUAUUGCACAAUGGGGGAAACCCUGAUGCAGCGACGCCGCGUGUGGGAAGACGGUCUUCUGGAUUGUAAACCACUGUCCCCAGGGACGAAAAUGACGGUACCUGGGGAGGAAGCUCCGGCUAACUACGUGCCAGCAGCCGCGGUAAUACGUAGGGAGCAAGCGUUGUCCGGAAUUACUGGGUGAAAAGGGAGCGUAGGCGGGGAUGCAAGUUGGGUGUCAAAACUACCGGCUCAACCGAUAGUCGCACUCAAAACUGCAACUCUUGAGUGAAGUAGAGGCAGGCGGAAUUCCUAGUGUAGCGGUGAAAUGCGUAGAUAUUAGGAGGAACACCAGUGGCGAAGGCGGCCUGCUGGGCUUUUACUGACGCUGAGGCUCGAAAGUGUGGGGAGCAAACAGGAUUAGAUACCCUGGUAGUC
rnacentral:rRNA from 1 species